GUGCCGGGCCUCGGGGACAUUCCCUGAGCCCGGAGGUGCCGGGCCUUGGGGACAUUUCACUUUCCCCUCAGCCCGGAGGUGCCGCGGCUCCGCAGGGACUCGGCCCUGCCCUCAGGGGAGCCCCGUCACCCCCGAGGCCGCCACCGCCACCAAGCUCCGAAAGAACCGGGAAUUCUGCCUAAACACGAACACGCGAGGGUCCCGGGGUCCCUCUGACACCGACACGACGCGGGGACAGCAGAGGAAGCUACAUUCAGUUUGCGGCUGGGGCGGCCUCGAGCCCGGACUCGGUGGCUCGAAGCGGAGCCCCGCCGGGACCGGGCUCGCCCCCGGCCCUGCCCCGGCCCCGCCGCCUCCCCACCGGCCUCGGGCGGCUCAGCCGCUGCUCGCCCCGAGCUCUGCGAAGCCUUUGCUGAGUCCUGCCCGGAGCCCCGCUCAGCCCCUGCCCAGCCCAGAGUCCCCCAGUGCGGCCAAAGCCCGGGACAGGAACGUGUACAUUCAACUGGCAUCUCAUUCAGGGCUCAGCUCCUGUUUCCCCCCCGGAUUUGCUGCCUCCAGCCCUCGAUGGAGCCACCGCGCCCGCAGCCCCUUCCCCAGCAGCGUUAAGGUCUCAGCAGUACCCAGCUCAUCCCACCUCUCCAGACGGGAAACUAAAAUCAUUCCCACCACACACGGCUCCUUCCCAGCCUAGCAAUAUGUACAGCCGCUUCCUCAAAAUAAACUCAAAAAAGAAAUCCGUAUUAGAACUGAAGCUGUCCUAGAAACACCACGGCAAACUAGUGUAUCUGGAUUUAGUUAUCAGCUAAACACAGGCACAACAAGUGUUAGAGAAGUGGCACAGAAGCACGGGCCGGGGGCUCGGCUGGGCCGGGCUUUGGGCAGGGACAGCCUGGGCACCGCACGCAGCCACCUCCGCCCGGUGCUCAGGAAAUCAUCGGGAAUCGGAGAAAAGCAGGGAGAAGGUGAUGCCACUGUCCCCUCGCAGCGGGGCAGGGCUCGUUUGCUUUUUGCAAUCUCAGAAGAUAAAGUGCAAUGUUGCCACUUGCCUUCCUCCUGCAGUCCCUGAACCGGGACCGGCUGCCUCCCUUUGCCCGGGGCCUCGCCUGGGCACCCCGGGAAACUCAUCCUGGGACAUCCCUGGGCAUCUCAUCCCGGGGCAUCCCAGGGAAUCGCAUCCCGGGGCACUCCAGGGAAUCGCAUCCCGGGACAUCCCAGGGAAUCGCAUCCUGGGACAUCCCAGAGAAUCUUAUCCUGGGACAUGCCAGAGAAUCUUAUCCCGGGACAUCCCAGGGAAUCUCAUCCCGGGACAUCCCAGGGAAUCUUAUCCCGGGAUAUCCCAGGGAAUCGUAUCCCGGGGCACCCUGGGCAUCUCAUCCUGGGGCACCCCAGAGAAUCUCAUCCUGGGACAUCCCAGGGAAUCUCAUCCCAGGACAUCCCAGGGAAUCUCAUCCCGGGGCACCCCGGGAAUCUCAUCCCGGGGCACUCCAGGGAAUCUCAUCCCGGGACAUCCCAGGGAAUCUUAUCCCGGAACAUCCCAGGGAAUUUCAUCCCGGGACAUCCCAGAGAAUCGCAUCCCGGGGCACCCCGGGAAUCUCAUCCCAGGACAUCCCAGAGAAUCUCAUCCCGGGACAUCCCAGGGAAUCUCAUCCCGGGACAUCCCAGGGAAUCUCAUCCCGGGACAUCCCAGAGAAUCUCAUCCCAGGACAUUCAUCCCGGGACAUCCCAGGGAAUCUCAUCCCAGGGCACCCCGGGAAUCUCAUCCCAGGACAUCCCAGAGAAUCUCAUCCCGGGACAUCCCAGGCCACCACAGGCCUGGGGUGCCCCAGGAAGAGCAGCAAGAGGAACUCGACAUCUCAGCCUCCACCUCCUCUUCGUUAGCCCACGGCUGUCUCCGGCUGCUGCCCGGCACACAAACCCUGCUCCCAGCGCCCCUGCCCGGCCUGGGAGCCUGGAGCUCGGCUCCAGCCCUGCCAAGGCCUGCCGAGGGGUUCACCCUGCUCCUCUCCUCUCCUUCUAAUUUUCCCUCAAUUCAAGUGUUGGAAAAAGAAUCGAGCAAAGCAAAGGCGAGGCUGCCAAGCUGA
rnacentral:lncRNA from 1 species